rnacentral:lncRNA from 1 species
AUUUUUCUCCAGAAUGCCAGGGGGUUUCUAUGGCUUCUGGCAUGGGGGACAAACCUUUUGAGAAUUCCUCUGAACUCAAGUCCACAUUUGAUUGCAGUGUGGUACAUCAGCAGCAGGUUUUCAUCUCCAGUCUUUUGCUCCUUUCACCUACUAAUUCGAACACCAUCAUUCCCUUGCCACUGGGGGAGCAGCUUUUCUCUCCAGCGUGGUGUGACACCACUGGAGAUCUGGGCUGUGCAUUUGCCAUGGCAGUCCCAGAUACGUGCAUGCUCAUUCAGCGCUACACAGCAGCGAUGGAGCAGUCCACAAAAAUAAAAUGUGAUGGAAUUAAAGCUCUUUGCACGGGGAAUGGAACUACUAAUAGAGAAAUAGUUGCUCAAGAUCUUAUUCUCUCUGAUAUAUAG